rnacentral:lncRNA from 1 species
AAGACGCCCAGGGGCACUGACCCCCAGCCAGCCGGUGGCCUUUCCGCAAGUUCAUGAUCCUAGAGCUCUUACUACAAGCGUUAUCCAACCUGAAGUUCCCCACAGGAGAUGGAGAUGUUCACGAGCAGGGGCAUUGCAAUUUGACCUGGGCUUCUUCAGUCCUCUUCAUCAGAGCAGGAGGU